rnacentral:rRNA from 1 species
CUCCGAGAACUGAAAGGCUUUUUGAAGUCUUCGGAUGGAUAGAAGAACCCCUGAUGCCGUCGAGCCAAGAAAAGUUUCUAAGUUUAGCUAAUGUUGCCCGUACCGUAAACCGACACAGGUGGGUGGGAUGAGUAUUCUAAGGCGCGUGGAAGAACUCUCUUUAAGGAACUCUGCAAAAUAGCACCGUAUCUUCGGUAUAAGGUGUGGUUCGCUUCGUACUAGGAUUUACUCCGAAAGCGAAGAAACUUACAACAAAGAGUCCCUCCCGACUGUUUACCAAAAACACAGCACUCUGCUAACUCGUAAGAGGAUGUAUAGGGUGUGACGCCUGCCCGGUGCUCGAAGGUUAAUUGAUGGGGUUAGCAUUAGCGAAGCUCUUGAUCGAAGCCCGAGUAAACGGCGGCCGUAACUAUAACGGUCCUAAGGUAGCGAAAUUCCUUGUCGGUUAAAUACCGACCUGCAUGAAUGGCGUAACGAGAUGGGAGCUGUCUCAAAGAGGGAUCCAGUGAAAUUGUAGUGGAGGUGAAAAUUCCUCCUACCCGCGGCAAGACGGAAAGACCCCGUGGACCUUUACUACAGCUUGACACUGCUACUUGGAUAAGAAUGUGCAGGAUAGGUGGGAGGCUUUGAGUAUAUGACGCCAGUUGUAUAUGAGCCAUUGUUGAGAUACCACUCUUUCUUAUUUGGGUAGCUAACCAGCUUGAGUUAUCCUCAAGUGGGACAAUGUCUGGUGGGUAGUUUGACUGGGGCGGUCGCCUCCCAAAUAAUAACGGAGGCUUACAAAGGUUGGCUCAGAACGGUUGGAAAUCGUUCGUAGAGUAUAAAGGUAUAAGCCAGCUUAACUGCAAGACAUACAAGUCAAGCAGAGACGAAAGUCGGUCUUAGUGAUCCGGUGGUUCUGUGUGGAAGGGCCAUCGCUCAAAGGAUAAAAGGUACCCCGGGGAUAACAGGCUGAUCUCCCCCAAGAGCUCACAUCGACGGGGAGGUUUGGCACCUCGAUGUCGGCUCAUCGCAUCCUGGGGCCGGAGCAGGUCCCAAGGGUAUGGCUGUUCGCCAUUUAAAGCGGUACGCGAGCUGGGUUCAGAACGUCGUGAGACAGUUCGGUCCCUAUCUGCCGUGGGCGUAAGAAGAUUGAAGAGAUUUGACCCUAGUACGAGAGGACCGGGUUGAACAAACCACUGGUGUAGCUGUUGUUCUGCCAAGAGCAUCGCAGCGUAGCUAAGUUUGGAAAGGAUAAACGCUGAAAGCAUCUAAGCGUGAAGCCAACUCUAAGAUGAAUCUUCUCUAAGCUCUCUAGAAGACUACUAGUUUGAUAGGCUGGGUGUGUAAUGGAUGAAAGUCCUUUAGCUGACCAGUACUAAUAGAGCGUUUGGCUUAUCUUUAAUAAAGCAU